UACGAAGGGGGCUAGCGUUGUUCGGAAUCACUGGGCGUAAAGCGCACGUAGGCGGAUCUUUUAAGUCAGGGGUGAAAUCCUGGAGCUCAACUCCAGAACUGCCUUUGAUACUGAAGAUCUUGAGUUCGGGAGAGGUGAGUGGAACUGCGAGUGUAGAGGUGAAAAUUCGUAGAUAUUCGCAAGAACACCAGUGGCGAAGGCGGACUCACUGGCCCGAUACUGACGCUGAGGCACGAAAGCGUGGGGAGC
rnacentral:rRNA from 1 species